UACGAAGGGGGCUAGCGUUGCUCGGAAUCACUGGGCGUAAAGCGCACGUAGGCGGCUUCUUAAGUCAGGGGUGAAAUCCUGGAGCUCAACUCCAGAACUGCCUUUGAUACUGAGGAGCUUGAGUCCGGGAGAGGUGAGUGGAACUGCGAGUGUAGAGGUGAAAUUCGUAGAUAUUCGCAAGAACACCAGUGGCGAAGGCGGCUCACUGGCCCGGUACUGACGCUGAGGUGCGAAAGCGUGGGGAGCGAACCGG
rnacentral:rRNA from 1 species